UGUGGUCACAAUGUUGCUGCAGCUUCUGAGCAACCCACAGCGCUCAAGGUUUAUUUUUGGAAUGCCAUGGCACCCGUUCCUUCCAUUUGUAGGAAGGGGGGUCGAGUUGGUCUCAACAUGAACCUGCCGUUCUGACACUCCGGGCUGGGACAAGCAGGCAGCAGCUGGCCGGCCACCCCCAAGCAGCAGUCCUCCAGGGGAAACCUGCCUGGAGCGCUUUAAACUCCACCAAUAAGUUCUUCGCCUGGGUGUGUGAGGUCUAUCAGCUGAGCCACCCAGAACUCUGGCAGGGGAACUCUGGACCAGUGGGCUUCAGUGCUGAACAGAAACUAUGGCCGCCAGAGAUGUGGAAACAUCAAGAAGAGCGCUGUGCAUCAGCCACUGUUGUCACCAGAUGAACCUGGGUGGUGGUGUUAGAGUGUGGACUGGUGUGUCCAGUCAAUAAAGGACUGCCCUGCACUACCCAUACUACCUGAGUAACAUCAUUAGUUCAGUCAUGGUGUCCCUGUAUGUUGAACAAUCUCAUCAUCAUGGAAGAGAAUGCUCAAGGUCACAUCA